rnacentral:rRNA from 1 species
UACGUAGGGUGCAAGCGUUAAUCGGAAUUACUGGGCGUAAAGCGUGCGCAGGCGGUUUGUUAAGACAGAUGUGAAAUCCCCGGGCUUAACCUGGGAACUGCAUUUGUGACUGGCAAGCUAGAGUAUGGCAGAGGGGGGUAGAAUUCCACGGUGUAGCAGUGAAAUGCGUAGAGAUGUGGAGGAAUACCGAUGGCGAAGGCAGCCCCCUGGGCCAAUACUGACGCUCAUGCACGAAAGCGUGGG